rnacentral:rRNA from 1 species
UCCUGGCUCAGGAUGAACGCUAGCGGCAGGCUUAACACAUGCAAGUCGAGGGGCAGCACGGGUAGCAAUAUCUGGUGGCGACCGGCGCAAGGGUGCGUAACGCGUGAGCAACAUGCCCGUAUCAGGGGGAUAAUCCAGGGAAACUUGGUCUAAUACCCCCAUAGCAAUUACUGGAGGCAUCUUUAGUAAUUUAAAGCUUUGGUGGAUACGGAUUGGCUCGCGUGACAUUAGCUAGAUGGUAAGGUAACGGCUUACCAUGGCUACGAUGUCUAGGGGUUCUGAGAGGAAGAUCCCCCACACUGGAACUGAGACACGGUCCAGACUCCUACGGGAGGCAGCUGUGAGGAAUAUUGGACAAUGGAUGGAAAUCUGAUCCAGCCAUGCCGCGUGCAGGAAGACGGCCCUAUGGGUUGUAAACUGCUUUUGUAUGGGAGCAAUAAGGUCUAUGCGUAGACUGAUGAGAGUACCAUACGAAUAAGCAUCGGCUAACUCCGUGCCAGCAGCCGCGGUAAUACGGGGGAUGCAAGCGUUAUCCGGAUUUAUUGGGUUUAAAGGGUACGUAGGCGG